GCGCCCGUAGCUCAAUGGAUAGAGUACUGCCCUCCGAAGGCAGGGGUUGUAGGUUCAAUUCCUACCGGGCGCG
rnacentral:tRNA from 1 species